GUGAGGAAUAUUGGUCAAUGGGCGGGAGCCUGAACCAGCCAAGUCGCGUGAAGGAAGAAGGAUCUAUGGUUCGUAAACUUCUUUUGCAGGGGAAUAAAGUGCAGGACGUGUCCUGUUUUGUAUGUACCCUGAGAAUAAGGAUCGGCUAACUCCGUGCCAGCAGCCGCGGUAAUACGGAGGAUCCGAGCGUUAUCCGGAUUUAUUGGGUUUAAAGGGGGCGUAGGUGGUUUGAUAAGUCAGCGGUGAAAGUUUGCAGCUUAACUGUAAAAAUGCCGUUGAAACUGUCGGACUUGAGUGUAAAUGAGGUAGGCGGAAUGCGUGGUGUAGCGGUGAAAUGCAUAGAUAUCACGCAGAACUCCGAUUGCGAAGGCAGCUUACUAAGCUACAACUGACACUGAAGCACGAAAGCGUGGGGAUCAAACAGGAUUAGAAACCCCGGUAGUCC
rnacentral:rRNA from 1 species